GCGUCAUUACACCUCUCAAGCUUCGCUUGGUAUUGGGUGUAGCCCACUGGGGCUCCCCCGAAAAUAAGCGGCGAUGCGGUCGGACUUCCAAGCGUAGUAAAACUCUUGUUUCGUUUCUGGAGCACGAUCGUGUCCGCCGGAUAACCCCCAAGUUUUCAAUGGUUGACCUCGGAUCAGGUAGGGAUACCCGCUGAACUUAA
rnacentral:misc_RNA from 1 species